CUUGCCACUUUGUGGUUCAUGACUGGGGUGAAGUCGUAACAAGGUAGCGCUAGGGGAACCUGGCGCUGGAUCACCUCCUUACACGAUGAU
rnacentral:rRNA from 1 species